rnacentral:rRNA from 1 species
GACAGAGGGUGCAAACGUUGUUCGGAAUUACUGGGCGUAAAGGGCUCGUAGGCGGCCAACUAAGUCAGACGUGAAAUCCCUCGGCUUAACCGGGGAACUGCGUCUGAUACUGGAUGGCUUGAGUUUGGGAGAGGGAUGCGGAAUUCCAGGUGUAGCGGUGAAAUGCGUAGAUAUCUGGAGGAACACCGGUGGCGAAGGCGGCGUCCUGGACCAACACUGACACUGAUGAGCGAAGCCAAGGGCAGGACAACA